UACAAGGAAGAAUAUAAAGGCAACUAUCUAAAAGACUUGAUCUUAUUCAACCGUCUCAGGGUUAUUGAGUUUUAUUAUUUUUACUUUUAUUUUUUUUUAUUUUUUUAUUUUUUAUUUUCAUUUUUAUUUUUGCUUUUUGCUUUUUAUUUUAUGUUUCUAUUUAUGUUUUCAGAUUUUUGUGUUUAGUUUUUUAUUUUUUAUUUUUUAUUCUAUUUUCUUUUUGUAGCUUAGAUUUUUGUAUUUAUUGUUUUCUCUAUUUCUAUUUCUAUUUUUAGUUUCUAUUUUUAUUUUUAUUUUUUAUUUUUUAAAUUUAUAUUUAUAUUUUUAAUUCUAUUUCUAUUUCUUAUUUUCGGCUGCUAUCCUAUUUUUGUUUUUUUUUUCAAUUUUUAUUUUUACUUUUUGUUUUGUAUUUCAAUUUCUAAUUUAUGUUUAUAAUUUUUAUUUUAUUUUCAGUUUAUAUUUUUAUUUCUGUUUUUUAUUUAUUUUAUGUUUUUCAUUUUAUAUUAUCUUUUCAGUUUCUAUUUCUAUUUUUUAUUUUUUAAUUUUUAGUUUCAGUUUUUAUUUUUUAUUUUAAUUAUCUAUUACUAUUACUAUUUUUAUUUUUAUUUUUUUAUUUUUAAAAUUAUAGAGUUAUAUUUGAAGUCUAUUCUAUUCUUUUCUGUUAGUGAUGUAUUUCUAUUUCUCAUUUUUUUUCUUAUUUUGAAUUUUCUUCUAUUUUGUUUUUAUUUUUAUUUCUUUUUUCCAAUUUUAUUUUUAUUUUUAAUUCUAUUCUAUUUCGAUUCUAUUCUAUUCUUUUUAGUUGAUUCUACUCUAUUUUUGAUUUCAUUUCUAUGUUAUAUUUUUUUUUGUUUAAUUGUAUUUAUGUUUCUAUUUAUGUAUUCAGUCUUUUUUAUCUUCUCAAAUUUUAUUUUUUAUUUUUGUUUUUAUUUUUUAUUCCUUUUUUGAGUUUUUUUAAUUUUUUUAUGUUUUUACUUUUUUUAUGAUCUCAAUUUUUAUUCUAUUUCAAUUAAUAAUUCUAUUUCAAGUUUUUAUUUUUAUUUUUGUUUUAGUUUUUUUAAUUUUUUUUAUAUAAAUUUCUAUUUUUAUUUUUUUCGUUGUUAUUUUUAUAUUCUGAUUAUAUAUUUUAGUUCCUGUUUUUUUUUUUUAUGAAUCUAUUCCUAUUUCAAUUUUUAGUUUAUAAUUCUAUUUUUAAUUUUAAUUUUUUUUUUUUUGUUCAGUUUCUAUUUCUGUUUUUAUGGAUAUUUUUCUAUUACCUGUUUCUAUUCUUGUUUUUUUAUUUUUUCUAUGUUCUCUUUUUUUUAUUUUUUGUUCUUAGUUUUAUUUCAAUUUCUAUUUAUAGUUCUUAAUUUUUAAUAUUUAUUUCUAUUUUCUUUUUUAUUUUCAAUUUGAAUUUGAAUUUGAAUUUUUUAUUUCUAUUUUUCAUUUUUAUAGGUUUCUGUUUGUUUUUUAUUUUCAGUUUCCAUUUCUAUUUUCUGUUUUUAGUUUUAUUUCUAUUUUCAUUUAUGAUUUUCAUUUUUUGUUUUAUUUGUUUUUGUAAUUUUUUUCUGCUUUCAAUUUUUAUUAUUUAACUUCUAUUUAUGUUUUCAGUUUUUUUAAUGUUCGCAUAUUUUAUUUUCUCUUUCUCUUUUUGAUUUUUUGUUUUUAUUUUUUUGUUUUUGUUUUUAUUUUCUAUUUUUAUUUUUAAUUCUUUAUUCUUUACAUCUUUUCUUUUUUUAUUUCUGUUUUUUAAUUUAAUUUCUGUUUCUACUUUUGUUUUUGUUUUUUUAAAAUUUUUUUUGGUUAAUUUUAUGUUUUCUGUUUUUCUGUUUUACAUUUAAAUCUGUUUUUCGUUUUUUUUUUAGUUUUAGGGCUUUAUUUUAAUUUUAAGUUUCUAUUUCUUCUUUUUGGUUUAUGUUUUUAUUUUCAGUUUUAUUUACAGUUUUUAUUUUUUUAUCUUUUUUUAUUUCUUUUUUGUGUUUUAGUUUGCAAUUUAUUUUUUUUUAGUUUUUUUAUAUGAUCUUAGUUUUAUUUUUUAUUUUCAGUUUAUAUUUCUAGAUUUGUUUUUAGUUUUCAGUUUUCAGUUUUAAUUUUUGGUUUUAUUUUUUAUUUUCUAUUUCUUUGUAUUUCUGUUUUUGUUUUUUGUAUCUUUUUUUAAUUUUAAUUUUAAUUUUUGUUUUCUUUUCUAUUUCUAUUCUCUAUUUUUAUUUUUAUUUUCUGGUUUUAGUUUAUAUUUUUUACAUUUUUAUUUUUAAUUUCUAUCGUUUUCAUUUCUGUUUUGAUUUUUGGGUUUUAUUUUUUAUUUUUAUUUCUGGUUUUAGUUUGCAUUUUGAUUUUGUUUAAGUUUCUAUUUAUGUUUUUCUUUCUUUUUUUUUUUCUGUUUCUGUUUCGAUUUUAUGUUUUCAAUUCAUAUUUCUACUUUUUUGUUUCUAUUUCUCUUUUUGUUUUCUUUUUCUAUUUCUAUUUUCUAUUUCUAUUUUUAUUUUUUUCUGUUUCUCUUUUUGUUUUCUUUUUUUCUUGUUCU
rnacentral:lncRNA from 1 species